UGGGGCAGCAUGAGUAGCAAUACUUGAUGGCGACCGGCAAACGGGUGAGGAACACGUACACAACCUUCCUUCAAGCGGGGAAUAGCCCAGAGAAAUUUGGAUUAAUACCCCAUAAUAUAUUUGAUAAGGCAUCUUAUUAAUAUUAAAGCUUCGGCACUUGAUGAUGGGUGUGCGGCUGAUUAGAUAGUUGGCGGGUAACGGCCCACCAAGUCUACGAUCAGUAGCUGAUGUGAGAGCAUGAUCAGCCACACGGGCACUGAGACACGGGCCCGACUCCCUACGGGAGGCAGCAGUAAGGAAUAUUGGACAAUGGACGAAAGUCUGAUCCAGCCAUGCCCGCGUGAAGGAUUAAGGUCCUCUGGAUUGUAAACUUCUUUUAUAUGGGACGAAAAAAGGGCAUUCUUGUUCACUUGACGGUACCAUAUGAAUAAGCACCGGCUAACUCCGUG
rnacentral:rRNA from 1 species